AUCCGGGUUGUGGACAGUGUCUGGUGGGUAGUUUGACUGGGGCGGUCUCCUCCUAAAGAGUAACGGAGGAGCACGAAGGUUAGCUAAUCCUGGUCGGACAUCAGGAGGUUAGUGCAAAGGCAUAAGCUAGCUUGACUGCGAGAGUGACGGCUCGAGCAGGUGCGAAAGCAGGUCUUAGUGAUCCGGUGGUUCUGAAUGGAAGGGCCAUCGCUCAACGGAUAAAAGGUACUCCGGGGAUAACAGGCUGAUACCGCCCAAGAGUUCAUAUCGACGGCGGUGUUUGGCACCUCGAUGUCGGCUCAUCACAUCCUGGGGCUGAAGUAGGUCCCAAGGGUAUGGCUGUUCGCCAUUUAAAGUGGUACGCGAGCUGGGUUUAGAACGUCGUGAGACAGUUCGGUCCCUAUCUGCCGUGGGCGCUGGAGAAUUGAGGAGGGCUGCUCCUAGUACGAGAGGACCGGAGUGGACGCAUCACUGGUGUUCGGGUUGUCAUGCCAAUGGCAUUGCCCGGUAGCUAAAUGCGGAAGAGAUAAGUGCUGAAAGCAUCUAAGCACGAAACUUGCCCCGAGAUGAGUUCUCCCUGACUCCUUGAGAGUCCUGAAGGAACGUUAAAGACGAUGACGUUGAUAGGUCGGGUGUGUAAGUGUAGCGAUACAUUGAGCUAACCGAUACUAAUGAACCGUGAGGCUUAACCUUACAACGCCGAAG
rnacentral:rRNA from 1 species